CGGAGGAAAAGAAACUAACAAGGAUUCCCCUAGUAGCGGCGAGCGAAGCGGGAACAGCCCAAGAUGAAAAUCCCUUCGGGGAGUUGUAGUCUGAGUGUCCUUGGGUGGGUCAGUGCGGGCAAGUCGUCUGGAAUGGCGUGCCAUGGAGGGUGAGAGCCCCGUCCAUCCCGCACAGGAUCCGCUCGUACAAGGGCGCUUCAACCGAGUCGGGUAGCUUGGGAAUGCUGCUCUAAUUGGUGGUAAAUCUCAUCAAAGGCUAAAUAGUGGUGGGAGACCGAUAGCGAACAAGUACCGUGAGGGAAAGAUGGAAAGAACUUUGAAAAGAGAGUGAAAAGCACUUGAAACCGUCACGGGGGAAGCGGAUUGCGUGAGUGAUGGUGUCGCUUGUUCAGCGCUUUAUUGCGUGCAUUCUGGCGGCGCCGUGCCGGCGUGGCUGGCUGGCCUGUGAUUUUGACAGGCUCGGCUGGUGAGGGCUCCCUCUUAUGAGGUGAGGACGCGGGCAAAAUGACGCAAUACGACCCGUCUUGAAACACGGACCAAGGAGUCUAGCACGGCUGCGAGUCGAAGGGUGAUUAAACCCAAGGGCGCAGUGAAAGCGAAAUUAUAAGCAAAUUGGGGAGGCGUUGCGCGUUUAGCAAAAUGUCCUACCUCGAGCAUUUGUGCUGGGACCCGAAAGAUGGUGAACUAUGCCGGAGUAGGGCAAAGCCAGAGGAAACUCUGGUGGAGGCUCGUAGCGAUGCUGACGUGCAAAUCGCUCGUCGAACUUGGGUAUAGGGGCGAAAGACUAAUCGAACCAUCUAGUAGCUGGUUCCCUCCGAAGUUUCUCUCAGGAUAGCGGGCCGACACGCGUUUGUUGUUUUGUGCGGUAAAGCGAAUGAUUAGUGCAUUCGGGGUACGAAGUACUUCGGGCGAUUCUCAAACUUUAAAUGCGCAAGGGGGCGGCUGCUUAAUUGAGCCUGCUCUUUGAAAAACGUCGGCCCUGUGGGCCACUUUUGGUAAGCAGAACUGGCGAUAAGGGAUGAACCUUAAGCGCGGUUAAGGCGCCUCAUUGCCCGCUUAUAGACCCCACAAAAGGUGUUGAUUCAUAUAGACAGCAGGACGGUGGCCAUGGAAGUCGGAAUCCGCUAAGGAGUGUGUAACAACUCACCUGCCGAAUGAAUUAGCCCUGAAAAUGGAUGGCGCUGAAGCGGGCAGCCGACACCGCGCCGUUCCGGCGAGACGAGGCCGGGAUGAGUAGGAGGGCGUGGCGGUCAGUGAAGCAGGCGAGGGUGCAGACCCCGCUGAAACGGCCGCUAGUGCAGAUCUUGGUGGUAGUAGCAAAUAUUCAAGCGAGAUCCUUGAAGGGCGAAGCGGGGAAGGGUUCCACGCAAACAUUGAUUGGGCGUGGGUGAGUCGUUCCUAAGCCGAGUGGCAAUUGCUAAGUAGCGGCGAAAGGGAAGCGGGUUAAAAUUCCCGCACACGGAUAUGGAGGCGGCGACGCAAGCAGAGGCGAAUACGCUGGCCGAGGCGCUGGGCAGAGUUGUCUUUUCUGUUUGACCGGCAUCGCGCCGUGUGGAAUCCGCUUAUCGGGAGAAACACGCGCGGGGAGGGGCAGAGCGUCAGGUUUUUUCUGGCGUCCAGCUCGCCUCGGACGGCCCCUGAAAAUUCGCCCGCGAACUUUAAAAAUUUCAUGCUGUGACGUACCGAUAACCGCAUCAGGUCCCCAAGGUGAACAGCCUCUGCUCAAUAUGAACAAUGCAGGUAAGGGAAGUCGGCAAAAUAGACCCGUAACUUUGGGAAAAGGGUUGGCUCUAGUGGGAUGAAGGUCUUCAAAGGGGGCUUCGCUGUGCUUGGCGCGGGACGGCUGUGGCUAGACCCUCACGGGUUUGGCUGCUACUGUUCUGCACCUUGCGUGGGGGAUGUUUCUCGCCUUCAGCAUAUCCCAGACUAGAACUGCAACGGGCAAAGGGAAUCCGACUGUUUAAUUAAAACAAAGCAUUGCGAAGGCCGUGGCCGGUGUUGACGCAAU
rnacentral:rRNA from 1 species